AAUUUGAAGAAAGCGCGGCAGGAAUCGCAGAGUUGAACGAUAAUGACGUUCUGCUCGGUCUGCUCAUUACGCUCACUUCCUCUGAAAGUGAAACAAACCCGCUUCACUCAGCGAGGAGCUGCUUUAAUGACCGCCACCCAGUUUGGUACUUCGUGUUUUUGUUUCGGGUAGAAAUCCCCCCACCAAGUUAUCAACUUCUGAAGAGACUUUUCUUCUUUUUGACGCUUUUACUUGACAGCCUUGUCAGCCGUCGGCUUCCCGGCUCUAGCUUUAAGGACAGGACAAUGGACAGGCUGCUGCUGUCCCGGAUUGACGAGGACCUGGACGCUGGAGAGGUGGCCGAGCUGUGCUUCCUGUGCAGCGACGUCAUCAACAGAAAGCAACUUGAGGAGAUCAAGUGUGCAAGGGACUUGUUCGUGAAACUGGAGGAGAAAGGUUUCUUGAACAGUGCAUUCCUCGCCGAGCUGUUCAGCACCACCCGCCGAGUAGAUCUCCUCAACCUGCUUCAGAGCGACGGCAGAGAAAGGGAGGAAACGGACGCCUCUCCUGCUUACCUGCCUGAAUACAGGUUGAUGCUGUAUAAAAUACACGAGGAUUUGACCGACGACAAGGUGGAGACGUUGAAGUUUCUGGUCAACGGUCAGAUCGCCAAACGACACCUGGACAUGAGCAGCACGGCUUUAAACGUGUUUGCUGAAAUGGAGAAGGCAGGUGUGAUCUCUAAAAGCAACGUGGAUAAACUCCACGAGCUCAUGAUCGACAUUGGGAAUAAACCGCUGGCAGAAAUUGUCAAAAGGUACAAAGACAGGCUCCCUCCCGCAGGUCCAGAAGGAGGCGUUAACAAUCGUAGUGCACAACAGGCGACGGCGCCAUCCGAAGACAUAGACGAGUUCUACAGUCUGACACAGAAUCCUCGAGGCUUGUGUGUGAUCAUCAGCAACGAGGACUUCAUGGGCUCUAAAUACAAAAAACGUCUUGGAAGCAACAAGGACAACGAAAAUCUAAGCAAACUGUUCAAACACUUCGGCUUUGUUCCGGACAUACACAAAGACCUGACAGCCGACAAGAUUACAGAGACGCUCAAGAAGCUGAGCGAGAGGGACUUUUCUAAAGAGGAUGCCUUGGUGGUGUGUGUGCUAUCCCACGGAGAAAUAGGCAGCAUCAUUGGCACCGAUGAAAAGGAAGUGACACUGGAACAAAUAUUCGAGCCGUUCAAGAACGUUUCCUCCUUGUUUGGGAAGCCCAAGCUCUUCUUCAUUCAGGCAUGUCAGCAAGAGGUGCCUCAAAAGACAAACCAGGAUGAGCCGUCCAAAGAGACGCCAUCCAAUUCUGUCUACUCGGACGCGACUUGUCCUUCUAAGGAUGGAGACAUUUUGAUUGGCAUGGCCACAGUUCCUUACAGCAGAGCUUAUCGGCACACAGAAAAUGGCUCCAUAUACAUCCAGGUACUCUGCAAGGAGCUGGAAAAUGCAGCUAAAAGCCCGAACAGAGAUGACAUACUCACCGUCUUAACGCGUGUGAACAGGAAGGUCAACAACCAUUGUUUGAUACCUAGUAGGCAGAUGCCAGAGCCCAAAUACACUCUCACCAAGAGGCUCGUCUUGAGAUUUGUUUGAACUGUCUGGAACCGUGCCUACGUAUUAAAUGAUCUGAUGUGCGCUGGACUCUAGUUUACAAGUGUGUCUGGAUACGAGUCUUUGAGUUUCUGAAUGGUUCUGUUUGAUAGGUGAAUUUUUGCAUUUUGGUCAAUCAAACAUAAAAGUUGUCAUAGAAUCACAUAUUUUGAAAUGUAUGAAAUAAAUCGAUAAGAAAAUGAAAAAAGGUCUAUCUGUGUUACUUGUUUCGUUCUCACAGAAGAACUGCAGUGCUGGUCACUGAUCGAACACAGUGUAGCAAUGGAAAAGAUCUUCCAUUGCUUAAAAAUGCUGCUUUGUGUGGCCAUCUUGGACUCUUUAAUACAGGGCUUUAGGGUUCAAGAGAUUCCCAACUUGACUCUGAAUGCAUCCGAAUUGCUGAUGAACAACCUCAAUGCCCUCUAAAGCAGGCUCCACUGCGCUGUUUGAGAAACCUUCCAGAAGCGCCACCCUUGAAAUUCAAACGUAUUGUACUUUGCGGAUGGGAAAAAAACAGUUAACCAAAGUAAGAGGCUAAUUGGCAAUUUGAUCAUUUUAGAAGGAAUAAAUUUCUCUUCAUGUUCUUCUGACUUUUUGAUUCUCUGUCACUCAACUCACGUAGGAGAGCCAAAGACAGAGAUAGCACGUGUGACUUGAUGACCCAAUCCAAGGAAGACUUUUAGUGUAAC